AACCUCAUCCGAUCUGCACAAACAUGGAGAGAUAUGGGUAGUUCCCAAUACGGAUCACGUGUGUACAAGAUUUUUCUUUGUUUAUGAAGAUGGUCAAGUGGGUGAUACAAGUAUAAAUACACAGGAACCAAGCAUUCAUAAAGAGAUUCUUCGAGUCAUUGGCAAUCAAACUGCUACUGGUUAAAAGGACCACUCUUAUUUAAUUGAUGUGAUUUGGAAGCCUUCCUCAGUCUCAAAGCUGGAUUUUGAACUGAAGAAGAUGCAAAAAACUAAUUUAUUAUUGUUAUUCUAAGCAAAUUAACCCUUUGAAUACUUACUGUUUUCUUACUUAGUAUUUCUUAUCUCAUCAAAAUACCUGAGAUGGUAUGAAUUAGCAACUGUAGGGGUGCAAAGUCUAUUAAUAUACUACAACUAAUAAUAAUUAAACAGGCAUUUGGGUUGCUCACAAUAAACAGACUUUAAAAAGGAGUUUUGUGCUGAUAUUUUUAUAUUAAACUUCAAUUUGAGGUUUUAGUACUGUAUACUGGUAUUUUAAAUUUAGAAUGACUGAAUUAUAAGCAAGAGAGAAGAUUUUAUAGCGGAGCACCUGUAUUAUGCAGGAUACUUUGCAAUAAGUAAAAUAUUCUCGUAUUUAAACACAAUAAAAGGUUGUCUGGAACAUGUCAAAUUAAAGAGAUUGGUUACCU